UACGUAGGGUGCAAGCGUUGUCCGGAAUUAUUGGGCGUAAAGAGCUCGUAGGCGGUCUGUCGCGUCGGACGUGAAAACCCAGGGCUCAACCUGGGCCUGCGUUCGAUACGGGCAGGCUAGAGUUCGGUAGGGGAGACUGGAAUUCCUGGUGUAGCGGUGAAAUGACGCAGAUAUCAGGAGGAACACCGGUGGCGAAGGCGGGUCUCUGGGCCGAUACUGACGCUGAGGAGCGAAAGCGUGGGGAGCGAACAGG
rnacentral:rRNA from 1 species